GCCUGCCAGCCCAGGUGGGAUCACACCGCCCUGGCGGGGGGCGCACCACCGGCCCGUCUCGCCCGCACCGCCGGGGAGGUGGAGCUAGAGCGCGCGCGAUGGUACCCGAAAGAUGGUGAACUAUGCCUGGGCAGGGCGAAGCCAGGGGAAACCCUGGUGGAGGCCCGCAGCGGUCCUGAUGUGCAAAUCGGUCGUCCGACCUGGGUAUAGGGGCGAAAGACUAAUCGAACCAUCUAGUAGCUGGUUCCCUCCGAAGUUUCCCUCAGGAUUGCAGGCGCUCACUCGAACAAGCAGUUUUAUCCGGUAAAGCGAAUGACUAGAGGCAUUGAGGCCGAAACAAUCUCAACCUAUUCUCAAACUUUAAAUGGGUAAGAAGCCCGGCUCGCUGGCUUGGAGCCUGGGCGUGGAAUGCGAGACGCCUAGUGAGCCCCUUUUGGUAAGCAGAACUGGCGCUGCGGGAUGAACCGAUCGCCGGAUUCCGUCUUCC